GAUUCUGAACUACAGGUGUUCCUGUGACCUGGCGGUUGUGGGAAUGCUGAGGGAGCGCACUUUGGGGAACAGCGUCACUCAGCUAUACACCAAGCUGUGUGAGGGACACAGCGAAGCCUGGAUGCGGCGGUCUAAACAGUACCGCUGCGAGUGCAAGCACUUCCUUGCCUCGUGCGCCAUCCGGCCACAGUUCCCACCACUACCAGAAAUGCCAGUGGUGCCCUCACACGUCUGGCUGCUGACCGUGUACAGCAUGGAUGUGCUUUUGUGGCUUGACAAGGUGACCAAGAAGCUCGCUGGUUACGCUUCGGACACGGGUGCUUGGGCCACAAAUUGUGGAGAAUGAACACAGGCAUGCCCUCAACUGUGUCCUCACUGCUGGUGAGGGCGAGGGCCUGCUAGCCACGGCGGCCGGCCUUAUGAAGCGGUACCGACUCGCUGGGAUACCAGCCCCCCUCCCCCCCAGCUCAUGUACGUGGACCGGGAGUGUUGCUCCAGCAGGUCCAAGACGGUUGCCAUGUUUGGGCUCCCGAGUGGCGCAGCAGUCAAAGGCACUGCAUCUCAGUGCUAGAGGUGUCAUAACAGACACCCUGGUUCGAAUCUAGGUUGUAUCACAACUGGCCUU